rnacentral:rRNA from 1 species
UUCCAGACUCCUACGGGAGGCAGCAGUGGGGAAUAUUGCGCAAUGGGGGCAACCCUGACGCAGCAACGCCGCGUGCGGGACGAAGGCCUUCGGGUUGUAAACCGCUUUCAGCAGGGAAGAACCAUGACGGUACCUGCAGAAGAAGCCCCGGCUAACUACGUGCCAGCAGCCGCGGUAAUACGUAGGGGGCGAGCGUUAUCCGGAUUCAUUGGGCGUAAAGCGCGCGUAGGCGGCCCGCUAAGCGGGACCUCUAACCUGGGGGCUCAACCUCCAGCCGGGUCCCGAACUGGCGAGCUCGAGUGCGGUAGGGGCAGGCGGAAUUCCCGGUGUAGCGGUGGAAUGCGCAGAUAUCGGGAAGAACACCGAUGGCGAAGGCAGCCUGCUGGGCCGACACUGACGCUGAGGCGCGAAAGCUAGGGGAGCGAACAGGAUUAGAUACCCUGGUAA